AUACGUAGGUGGCAAGCGUUGUCCGGAAUUAUUGGGCGUAAAGCGCAUGUAGGCGGUUUGGUAAGUCGGUCGUGAAAAUGCGGUGCUUAACGCCGUAUGGCGAUCGAAACUGCUGAACUUGAGUGCAGGAGAGGAAAGGGGAACUCCCAGUGUAGCGGUGAAAUGCGUAGAUAUUUGGAAGAACACCGGUGGCGAAGGCGCCAUUUAGGAAUGAGUCUAGGACUAAGAUACGAAAGCCAGGGAAGCAAGCAGGAAUAGAUCAACUGAUUGCCCUGGUCGUGAACGAUGGUUUCAAUGUGGGGGUGGUAUCGCGUAUGACCGCGCCGGAGAUAACAUAAAUAGGUCAACGACUGGAGAGAUCGGUCGCACGGCUUAUGCUCAAAUGAAUUGACGAGG
rnacentral:rRNA from 1 species